GGGACUUUUUUGAAUUAGCCGGCCACAUAUACCAGGGUUCUCAGAGGAUUUUUUCCCCCCUUUCUCUCUGUCUCUUUCUGGGUUUUUCCUAUUACUAAUUAUACAGGCAAGAAGGUAAUGAUUUCUGGUGUUCUUUCCUUUAAACCUCUACUUUGAGAUCAGCAGCCCGGGACACAGAUAAAUAGGUCAGUUAUUACUGACGUCACAGGGAACUCCUGGCUCAGAUUAACCGCGCAGAGAUGGACGCCUGUGAGUGUGUGCAAGGGGUGAUGAAACAUAAAGUACAGUCAGUUCAUUUAACAACAAAUUCCAGCAACAGAUGAUAGAUAAAAAUAGAUCCUGAAGGAUCUAUGUAGAUCUAAAUAGAUGAUCCAUGAGCCACAUAAUUAGGGAAUAAAAGGACUCCAGUCUUUACCAGCGAAUGUAAAAUUGGGUAGGCAGACUCAGACCCUUACUUAUCAGUGGAUUCCAGCCCUAAUUCCAGGAGGCCUCACCUCACCUUGGGGGCUUCUCUUUUCCUUAACCUAACUGGUUAAGCCAGGAAAGCUGUGAAAUACCUUAGUUACUUGGUGAAGAGCCAUUAUUACCAGAUUAUUAUCACAUUCUCAAAAAGCUUUGCUGUGAGCUGGGCAGGUGCGGCGGCUCACACUUGUAAUCCCAGCACUUUGGGAAGCCAAAGUGGGCUUGGGGCCAGGAGUUCAAGACUCAGCCCAGCCAACAUGUGGAAACCGCAUCUCUACUAAAAAUACAGAAAAUUAGCCGGGCAUCGUGGUUCAUGCCUUGUAGUCCCAGCUACUUGGGAGGCUGAAGCACGAGAAUCGCUUGAACCUGGGAGAUGGAGGCUGCAGUGAGGUGAGAUGAGGCCACUGCACCCCAGCCUGGGAGACAGAGCGAGACUCUGUCUCAAA
rnacentral:lncRNA from 10 species